AAUUAUCUAAUAUAAGUAAGCUGAGUUCAAUAGUAUAGGCAUAGCCGCCUGCAAUUUGUCCUAAAAUUCUUUAAGAAUAGUCUCAUUAAAUAAAAUAUAGUUGGUGCGAACCGACUUUUGAAAUGGUUUAAUGCUUACACGUUACUUCAUGAUGUCAAACCAAUAACAUGGGAUGGGAGUAGUAAAUAAAUCAUUGUCAUGUCAUGAAUACGUAGUGCUCUAAAAAACAAUUACUCCAUUAAAUAAUACUCCUUCCAUCCCAUUAUAUCUGUCGUUCUGAACUCUCUUUUUUGCCUCAAAAUAUUUGACGUUCUACGCUAUCAAAAAUAUUUUGAUUAUUUAUUUUCCUUCUCUAGCCUUCCUUCUCCACCACCAUUACCAUUAAUGGCUAUUCUCUAUUUUCAAAAGACAGUGCUCCGGCGAGUCAGUGCCCCUCUGUCUCCGGCGAAUCCGAUUCAGUCCCUUCUCUUCUCCCUCUCAGAUCCGGCGAGUCAGUGCCCCUCUGUCUCCGCCGAGUCCGAUUCAGUCCCUUCUCUUCUCCCUCUCAGAUCCGGCGAGUCAGUGCCCGUCUCCGGCGAGUCCGAUUCAGUCCCUUCUCUUCUCCCUCUCAAAUCCGGCGAGUCCGAUUCAGUCCGAUUCUCCCUUCUCUUCUCCCUCUCAGACGCCACCAAAGGAACCUUCAAAUUCAGAGCCUAAGUCCGACGUCGAAAAAUCAAAAGGCGGUUACAAGUUCCGCCGCUUGAGGCUUGACGAGUUUUGGGAACGUCAAAAACUAAUGGGAUGGAGAGUAAAAUAGUAAAAUUAUAUCUAUUCUUAAUCUAUGUGAAAAUAUCUAGAACGUGGGAUAUAAUGUGAUGGAGGGAGUAAUAAAAAAGGACCAGAUAUCCGGUCUCCCUAAUUUAUCAAUAUUUUUUGUUAUUAUUAUCUUUUCUACCAUCAUCAUAAUAAUAAUAAUAAUAAUAAUACAUUCUUAAUUAAUACUAAAGAU
rnacentral:lncRNA from 1 species